UACGUAGGUGACAAGCGUUGUCCGGAUUUACUGGGCGUAAAGAGCGCGCAGGCGGUCGAUCAAGUCGAGUGUGAAAGCCCCCGGCUCAACUGGGGAGGGUCAUUCGAUACUGAUCGACUCGAAGGCAGGAGAGGGUAGUGGAAUUCCCGGUGUAGUGGUGAAAUGCGUAGAUAUCGGGAGGAACACCAGUGGCGAAGGCGACUACCUGGCCUGUUCUUGACGCUGAGGCGCGAAAGCUAGGGGAGCAAAAGGG
rnacentral:rRNA from 1 species